rnacentral:rRNA from 1 species
GGAUUGACACAUCGGUCGUGCCUUAAGGGGUAUGAACUGGUGUAGUCAAUUUCUCACCUUCUGGAGAACCGCGAUGCCCUUAAUUGGGUGUCACGGGGAACCAGGACCUUUACUUUGAAAAAAUUAGAGUGUUUAAAGCAGGCCUACGCUUGAAUACAUUAGCAUGGAAUAAUAGAAUAG